rnacentral:rRNA from 1 species
GACGAACGCUGGCGGCGUGCUUAACACAUGCAAGUCGAACGGAAAGGCCCUGCUUUUGUGGGGUGCUCGAGUGGCGAACGGGUGAGUAACACGUGAGUAACCUGCCCUUGACUUUGGGAUAACUUCAGGAAACUGGGGCUAAUACCGGAUAGGAGCUCCUGCUGCAUGGUGGGGGUGGGAAAGUUUCGGCGGUUGGGGAUGGACUCGCGGCUUAUCAGCUUGUUGGUGGGGUAGUGGCUUACCAAGGCUUUGACGGGUAGCCGGCCUGAGAGGGUGACCGGCCACAUUGGGACUGAGAUACGGCCCAGCCUCCUACGGGAGGCAGCAGUGGGGAAUAUUGCACAAUGGGCGGAAGCCUGAUGCAGCAACGCCGCGUGCGGGAUGACGGCCUUCGGGUUGUAUACCGCUUUCGCCUGUGACGAAGCGUGAGUGACGGUAAUGGGUAAAGAAGCACCGGCUAACUACGUG